UUCUCUUGAUUACCAGGCCACAGCAGAUUUGCAGGUGUGGCAGAAAUUCCUAUGUCAAUGGAAUGGGAAAUCCAUGUUCAUACCUCCUUUUUCCGACAAUUCCCCAAUGCUCUGGUCAGUUGUAGCGGCUUCCCCUGGCUUUGCAGCAAUUUUUGGUGACCAAUGGCUAUGGGGCUGUUGGCUGUCCCAAAUCAGAGCAUAG